UCAGCCAUGCCAGAGGCCAGAAGGAUCAUCAUUGGGCUGUCACGCCCUCGAUCCACCCCUACCCCACACUUCAUAGCAUCAUACUUAGAACUUAAAUUGAGAGCUGGAAAGGAUAUUAGGAACUCCCUUCAUUUUACAGAUGGGACGACUGAGGCCUAGAAGAAUGAAGUGACUUGCCAUAGGAGCCUAGUUCUAGAGCCAGGUGGGGGAACAAGGGAACAAGCAUUUAUUGUCUACUGUUUGCUGGGCAUUGUGGAUCUUCCAGAUGUCUCUGAUGAUGACCCAGCCGUCAUGUCUGCCUGGCCUUUCAGCACCUGAGGAUAGAGUUCAUCAGAGCCAGGUGACUUGCAUUCACCCGAGGCAGCCAGGAGCCCUCUUUUCUACAACCUUACUGAUCUUGGGUUGGAGCCUAGGAGAGUGGGAAGAUGGUGGUGCCCUUGACAGAAACAGUAACAUCUGGAAGAGGAAUAGAUUUUGAGUGAAAGAAUGAGUUCUGUUUUGCACCUGUUGAUUUUGUGAUGUCCAUGGAAAUGUCCAAUAGAACAUGUGUGAUAUGGAGCUGUCAGUCAAUAAACAUUUAUGA